AGAGUUUGAUCCUGGCUCAGGACGAACGCUGGCGGCGUGCCUAAUACAUGCAAGUAGAACGCUGAAGCUUGGUGCUUGCACCGAGCGGAUGAGUUGCGAACGGGUGAGUAACGCGUAGGUAACCUGCCUGGUAGCGGGGGAUAACUAUUGGAAGCGAUAGCUAAUACCGCAUAAGAGUAGAUGUUGCAUGACAUUUGCUUAAAAGGUGCAAUUGCAUCACUACCAGAUGGACCUGCGUUGUAUUAGCUAGUUGGUGAGGUAACGGCUCACCAAGGCAACGAUACAUAGCCGACCUGAGAGGGUGAUCGGCCACACUGGGACUGAGACACGGCCCAGACUCCUACGGGAGGCAGCAGUAGGGAAUCUUCGGCAAUGGACGGAAGUCUGACCGAGCAACGCCGCGUGAGUGAAGAAGGUUUUCGGAUCGUAAAGCUCUGUUGUAAGAGAAGAACGAGUGUGAGAGUGGAAAGUUCACACUGUGACGGUAUCUUACCAGAAAGGGACGGCUAACUACGUGCCAGCAGCCGCGGUAAUACGUAGGUCCCGAGCGUUGUCCGGAUUUAUUGGGCGUAAAGCGAGCGCAGGCGGUUAGAUAAGUCUGAAGUUAAAGGCUGUGGCUUAACCAUAGUACGCUUUGGAAACUGUUUAACUUGAGUGCAAGAGGGGAGAGUGGAAUUCCAUGUGUAGCGGUGAAAUGCGUAGAUAUAUGGAGGAACACCGGUGGCGAAAGCGGCUCUCUGGCUUGUAACUGACGCUGAGGCUCGAAAGCGUGGGGAGCAAACAGGAUUAGAUCCCCUGGUAGUCCCCGCCGUAAA
rnacentral:rRNA from 1 species